rnacentral:rRNA from 1 species
AGCUCCAAUAGCGUAUAUUAAAGUUGCUGCAGUUAAAAAGCUCGUAGUUGCAUUUCCGAGGCAAGGGAUUAGUCCGACCUUUGGUGGGUAUUUAAUCCUCUUGCCUCGUCCUUGAGUGGUGCUUCUUGGUAUUAAGUUAUCGAGGAGAUAGCCGCUCAUCGUUUACUGUGAGAAAAUUAGAGUGUUCAAAGCAGGCUUAUGCCGUUGAAUAUAUUAGCAUGGAAUAAUAAGAUAGGACCUCGGUACUAUUGUGUUGGUUUGAGAACCAAGGUAAUGAUGAAUAGGGACAGUUGGGGGUAUUCGUAUUCAGUUGUCAGAGGUGAAAUUCUUAGAUUUACGGAAGACGAACUACUGCGAAAGCAUUUACCAAGGAUGGUUUCA